rnacentral:lncRNA from 1 species
AUGAUUUUUCCAGGUUGGUACACAGAGCCACAGCCAUCUAAAGGUCUGGAGCAACGGCGCCGUGAAGUUAUCCACCUAACUUCUCAGCCAUCCUCUAAAGAUGCCACUGACCGACAGGUUGUGCCAAAGAGACUUGUAAGACCUAAGAAACCGAGUCUCCAACACUUAAAAGCCUCUGAGCAGUCAUCCAAACCAAAAGAUCUGAAACAAAGGGACCAUGAAGCUGUCCACCUACCUCCUCUGCCAUCCACUAAAAAUGUCCAAGAGCCCUUAAAGGAUGUGAUAUCAACCCCUCCUCUCCCAAGGCUUCCCAUUAAGAGUUAUAUACAGCGGGACCCUACUUCCAAAUCUCAACUUAACGAGUACCACAGUACUGACUUUGUUUUGACUGACAGUCAAACUGUGAUUUCGGGGUCAGAUGGUGAUGAUGCAGGAUUGCUAAUUGUGAAGCACUGGGAAAAGUAUUACAAGAAUGUAUGCAAGCUUCGAUGCAUCCCCUUCUUUGCACGCUACAGACUAUGGAAACCCUUCUAUGUCUGGCACAGAAAUGUUUGUGCCAACAAGAUGACUUUGGCCAGGGAGUCACUACAAAAAAAUUUGUUUAUUGUCAUUCCGGUAUGUGCAUGUACAAAUUGAGGUCUGUUUUUAGUGAUCUCGAAAUAUUUUCAGAGAGAGAAAGUCUUUGAAUUAUACAGAUUUUAAUAAGAGUGUGGUUCUUUGAUCGAGUCACGUGAUGGAGCGUUUGGGAAUGGCCGCACCAUAGAGAGUCUCUGGCCCCCCGUCGACCCUACAUUAGUUUUUAAAAAGGUAAACGCUCCCAAAUAAUAUAUUUCUACACUGCGGUGACUCGCUAGAUCAGUGUCCUCGAAUUUAUUGAGAGACAUGGCCACAGGAAGUAAGAAGAAGAGCGUGCAAACCCGAAUCUCCACGAUGGCGGUGGGGGAAAGUAAUGCUAGCAGUGCCAAGGCUAGCCCUGCUAGCCAAGAAGAAGGGCCAGAGAUGGAUAUAAGCGGUCUGUUUGCCGAAAUGACUAAGCUUGGAGCUAUUCUAAAUAAUGUUGCGGCCGAUGUAUCUCACAUCAAGUCAGACAUGGUGGAAUUUAAAAACGCUAUAAGUGCAAUCCAAACACGGAUGACCGAAGCUGAGGGCCGCAUCUCAGAUGUGGAAGACAAAAUGAGGAGCAUAACAGAGGAUAAUGGAAAAAAAAGCUAAAAAGCUUGAACAACUAUGGGCCCCAGUAGACGACCAGGAAAACAGAAACCGCAGAAAGAAUGUUCGGCUUAUCGGUCUGGAAGAGGGUUUGGAAAGUGGUGGCAACAUAAAUGAUUAUGUGAUGAAGAUACUCGCGGAUGGCCUAGGUCUACAAGGGGAGGAAUAUGAGUUGGAAAGAUGUCACAGAAGUACGAGACCACACCCAGGACCUGGUCAGCCACCUCGAACCGUGCUGGUGAGAUUUCUCCGUUACACUGCACGACAAAAAGUUCUCAUGACCGCUAAGCAGAAGAAAGGAACACUGUGGGAGAACUGCCUCUUGUCAUUUUAUGAAGAUAUGACCGCGGAGCGAGCGGCGCAGAGGAAGCUUUUCUCCCCAGUAAUGAAGAAGUUAUGGCAGCAUCAGAUAAAGCACACCCUGGCACAUCCAGCAAAACUUCGAUUACUAUGGAAAGGCCAGCAGAAGAGCUUUGACAACGUUGAGGAGGCAGAGAAAUUUGUACGUCAGAACCUCCAAGAAGUGGUGGAGUAAGGGGUUAGUAAGCUAAAUUACAUGUAUGGGAGCGCAUUGUUAAUAAUUACAUAAGACGGGGGCGGGCUCCCUGGGGUGUCGCCGGGACAGCAGGAGGACAGCAGU